GCCAAGACCGUGAUCAAGGUAGCUUAAG
rnacentral:piRNA from 1 species